AGUCUGUUUUCCGUAAAAACUCGACUGUAGUUGAAAGCUUGCUUCCUUGUAAGGAAUCAUCAAAUCUUCCACUGGUUUCAGUGAGAGUUGGCAAAAAAGCAACACGUACAUAAAGGAAGAAGAAUCUGUGAACAAUAUAUGAGUGGCACUCUGCAAAACAUUGCAACUUAAUGUCCAGGAAGGAUUCAGCAAAACAACAGCUCUUUGUAAGAUUCGUAUUUGUGCAUUCAUUCAAGAACAUCUCAG